AAGUUCUGAUGCAUUUUUUCCCAUUUCAAGACAACAUUGAUCGCGCAGCCCAGAGUGGUGUGGAAUAUAUUGCGAGUCCUGCUGGAUCAGUUUCAGAUGAUGUAGUGAUUACAGCU